rnacentral:rRNA from 1 species
AGGAUAAACGCUGGCGGCGUGCCUAAUACAUGCAAGUCGAACGAGGAUAGUAAUAUCCGAGUGGCGGACGGGUGAGUAACGCGUGGGUGACCUGCCUUUCAGUGGGGGAUACCCGCUAGAAAUAGCGGCUAAGACCGCAUACGAUCACAGCUUCGGUGUUGUGAGGAAAACCGCAAGGUGCUGAAAGAGGGGUCCGCGUCUGAUUAGCUAGUUGGUGGGGUAAUGGCCUACCAAGGCGACGAUCGGUAGCUGGUCUGAGAGGAUGACCAGCAUCACUGGGACUGAGACACGGCCCAGACUCCUACGGGAGGCAGCAGUGGGGAAUAUUGGACAAUGGGCGCAAGCCUGAUCCAGCCAUGCCGCGUGGAUGAUGAAGGCCCUAGGGUUGUAAAGUCCUUUUAACGGGGAAGAUAAUGACGGUACCCGUAGAAUAAGCCCCGGCUAACUUCGCGCCAGCACGCCGC